rnacentral:rRNA from 1 species
GACAGAGGGUGCAAACGUUGUUCGGAAUGACUGGGCGUAAAGCGCGUGUAGGCGGCUCGGCAAGUCGGAUGUGAAAGCCCUGGGCUCAACCCAGGAACUGCAUCCGAAACUGCGGGCCUGGAGUGGUGGAGAGGGAAGCAGAAUUCCUGGUGUAGAGGUGAAAUUCGUAGAUAUCAGGAGGAACACCGGUGGCGAAGGCGGCUUCCUGGACACUUACUGACGCUGAGACGCGAAAGCGUGGGGAGCAAACAGG